rnacentral:rRNA from 1 species
GAUGAACGCUGGCGGCGUGCCUAAUACAUGCAAGUCGAGCGAACAGACGAGGAGCUUGCUCCUUUGACGUUAGCGGCGGACGGGUGAGUAACACGUAGGUAACCUACCUAUAAGACUGGGAUAACUUCGGGAAACCGGAGCUAAUACCGGAUAAUAUUUCGAACCGCAUGGUUCGAUAGUGAAAGAUGGCUUUGCUAUCACUUAUAGAUGGACCUGCGCCGUAUUAGCUAGUUGGUAAGGUAACGGCUUACCAAGGCAACGAGACGUAGCCGACCUGAGAGGGUGGUCGGCCACACUGGAACUGAGACACGGUCCAGGCGCCUACGGGAGGCACCAGUAGGGAAUCUUCCGCAAUAGGCGAAAGCCUGACGGAGUAACGCCGCGUGAGUGAUGGAGGUCUUCGGAUCGUAAAACUCUAUUAUUAGGGAAGAACAAACGUGUAAGUAACUGUGCACGUCUUGACGGUACCUAAUCAGAAAGCCACGGCUAACUACGUG